rnacentral:rRNA from 1 species
GACGAACGCUGGCGGCGUGCUUAACACAUGCAAGUCGAACGGUGAAGCGCCUUCCUUUUUGGUGGGUGUGGAUGAGUGGCGAACGGGUGAGUAACACGUGAGUAACCUGCCCCCUUCUUCUGGAUAACCGCAUGAAAGUGUGGCUAAUACGGGAUAUUCUGGGUCUGUCGCAUGAUGGGUCUGGGAAAGAUAUUGUUUCGGUGGGGGAUGGGCUCGCGGCCUAUCAGCUUGUUGGUGGGGUGAUGGCCUACCAAGGCGGUGACGGGUAGCCGGCCUGAGGGGGUGCACGGUCACACUGGGACUGAGACACGGCCCAGACUGCUAGGGGAGACAGCAGUGGAGAAUAUUGCACAAUGGGCGCAAGCCCGAUGCAGCGACGCCGCGGGAGAGAUGGAGGCCUUCGGGUUGUGAACCUCCUUCGCCAGUGAAGCAGGCCUGCCUCGUUUGUGGGUGGGUUGACGGUAGCUGGAUAAGAAGCGCCGGCUAACUACGUG